rnacentral:tRNA from 1 species
GGAGAGGUCGCAUAGUGGACUAGUGCGUGCGCUUGGAGAGCGCAUGUCGCCGUAAGGUGACCGUGGGUUCGAAUCCCACCCUCUCCGCCG